CAUCUUGUGAGCAUCUGGGCCAAGUUCAGGGCUGGUGCUCUCGUUCAGAUAGAUUUAGCUGGUGGUGCAGAGAUCCGUGAGCUUGCUUUUACAGGACUUUAAUGAUAUAUAAAAGCAGCACGAGGUGCUCCUGACUGUGGAUUAAUUUGGAGAUGACUUUCUCUGUUGAAGAGUAGCAAGACUCUCGCGAGUUCUUAAAAAUGCACUUGUUUGGUAUGAGAAUGAAAAGCAGUGGCUGAAGAACCAAUCUUCAAUGGGCAAGCCUUCUCUGACAUCAAUAUCUGGCUUUGAGUGGCACAAAGAAAUAAAGGAAUGUGGAUUCAGACCUCACUGGGAUGCUUGGCAAUUCUAAUUCUACCCCAGACUGCAAAUGGACACACAACUGUUGUGACUUUUGUUGAAGAGGAGAAGGAUGGUGAAGGUCUCUUUAGUCAAUAAUCUCUUUGCUGAAAUUGCUUCGGGCAGCACAGAAGCUGGAUUCAGAAGCACACAGGUCUGGGGAUGCAGGCUUCGGCCAGCCUGAUGCAAGGAAAGACUGCCAUCUCGUGGUCAGCUCAAUCCUGGCACCUUGGUGAGGGACCAGGCUGCAGAAAACCAGGCUUGGGGAGGAAACGGUGCUGCAAACUGGAUUUCUGCCGGACAGUGUGGAUGCCCUUAGAAAACACCCAGAAAAGAGCUGAGUGCCCCCCAAGGUAGGCUUCAGUGAAUCCUCUGCAGGUGUGUUGUCAUCCCUUGAGCCAAACACAUGCUUCACACACACGCUGCAGGCUGCGUGAAAAUGAGGUAGAAAUGUGGGGAAAACAUAAUCCCAUGGAGAGAACAAAGAGCUGAACACGUAAAUGCCUCCGGCGUGCCUGGCAGAGAGAACACUCAGGCUGAGAGAAGGGACAGUGACUUGUACCAAAGGUAGGCAAGUAGCCUCUGGGGUCUCAAUCAGCAGGGCAUCUGGUCAACCCUUCAGACAAAGUCAGGUCUGAGCAGGCAAGAUCCAUGGAUCUGAUUUAUUAAUAUUUUUACAAUUAAAUAGAAUCUGAUUGUAAAACUGUUACAUGUGUUGUAAGAAAAAAAGAAAAAAAGGAAGGAUAUAGAAAUGUACAAAGAAGGAAAUAAAAGACUGGAAGCGUCCUCACCUUAGGGACCCAUUAUUAACGCUUAGGUGGCCAAUCUUCCAGACAUCUUGCUACGAAUAUAUUCAAACGGGAAUUAAAAAUGUACUUUUACACAAGUGCAAUCAGACCUUGUACUCCUCUAUCCCAUAACCUACUUUUUCAUUCAACACUAUGACAGAAGCGUCUUUCCAGGUCCAUAAAUAAAGGCUGUUUCCCAUAUAAGGUUCAUGACCCCCAGUGAGGAUGAAACUGCCUGCAAGGUUUGUCUUCUCUCCUGUUCACUGGUUACUCAGCCAGGCUGAUUCAUGGGCUUCUCAAAGGAGCUUGUUUAUCAGAAGCUUGUCUAAGACACCACGUCUUCCAGAAAAUCUCACCUGAGUCACCAACAGAUUCCUCUAAGAGUCUGUAAGCCACUCCUGACCAGCAGGAAACCCCAACAGAGGCAAAGAAUAGGAAAUUAAAUAUUUCGUCAAGAAAAAAUGAGAGGCUGGGUGCGGUGGCUCAUGCCUAUAUCCCAGCACUUUAGGAGGCCUAAGCGGGCGGAUCAUUUGAGGUCAGGAGUUUGAGACCAGCCCGGCCAACAUGGUGAAACCCUGUCUCUACUAAAAAUACAAAAACAAUUAGCUGGGCAUGGUGGUGGGUGCUUGUAAUCCCAGCUACUGGGGGAGGCUGAGGCGGGAGAAUCGCUGAAACCCAGGAGACAGAAGUUGCUGUGAGCCGAGACCACACCACUGCACUCCAGCCUGGGUGAGAGUGAGACUGUCUCAAAAAAAAAAAAAAAAAAAAAAAAAAAGCAAGAAAGCUCCCAUUUAGAUCACUCGGACAAAAGAUUUCUUUUUGUGCCAAAAUGUUCCACUAGGCUUCCAGUUUUUACCACAUAACUUGACAGUCAUGCAAGACUUAAGUGUAUUUUCAGCUAUCCUUUCUCUUUCAUUUAUUUCUGUUUAAUAAGCUCUGUCCAUUGAUUCUAGUUAGUACAUUAUAUAUCUUUUUAAUCACUUACCUGCAG
rnacentral:lncRNA from 10 species